rnacentral:rRNA from 1 species
AUCUACGGCCAUGCCACCUUGAACAUGCCCGAUCUUGUCUGAUCUCAGAAGCUAAGCAGGGUUGGGCCUGUUUAGUACUUGGAUGGGAGACCACCUAAGAAUACCAGGUGCUGUAGGCG